AGGUUUUGGACGAAACGGGAUUUGCGUUUUGGCAAGCGUAAAGGGCAAGAAAGGUACAGACUACAGAUUUGCUGACCCACCUGCCUAGGACACCUAUUCUGCUAUUCUGGAGCGCUCUUUUGUCCAGAGCCUAUACUCUGGUACAGUCUGCUGCUGUUGGAUAUAUGUACGCUAUUCAGGGGUACGACGGGGCCCUGUCCUGUUUUAUGUUUCUGUUAUGUUCUGUAGAGGUCUGUAGAUAUACAUGUGGGUUCUGUAUAUGUUUUGGGUUGCUAUGAUUUGUGAUAGCCUUAUCGGCUUCCAUGUGUUAUAUAUGUUCCUCUAUGACACUAGUAAUGUCGACUGACUUUUAUAUUUAUAUAA